rnacentral:lncRNA from 1 species
GAGAGAGAGAGAAAGGUAUUGUUUCUUAAUUUGCUUCUCACAUCUUUCCGACGCUCCCAUAUGUCUUCUGAUUUAAGUUUUCUCUUAAAGGUAGAUCCAAACAAACUGUAGGAAGGUUUGCAGUUUGGCAACCCAAGAUUGAUGCCAAACUCUACAAAUCAUGGACUGAGUUGACUGGAAGAAGCUCGCUCUUGGACUAAUUGACAUGUAAGAAAAACAUACACACACACAUAUUUUGCAUAAUGUUGAUACUAAUAUAUAAGUAGUCUUAUAAAAAAUAUAUAUUAUACACACACACAUAUAUAUAUAUAGAUAGAUAGUCUUCACAAUACUUCAAGUCCAGUCUUUGAUAUUCAGCAAAGUCUCUACACUUCGACAAGUCUUGAAGUAGGAGGAUUUAUAGACAUUUAAAACUUAAAUGGACUUCAAUCCAUAAGAAAUUUGGAUAAUGUCUUAAUUUCAAAUCAUGUUCAAAUAAAUAUUUUGGGCUAAUAUAAAUGAAUUAAUUAUUCAAGUCCAAUAUAUAUGGAUUUAAUUAAAAAGUUCAAUUUGGGCUUGUCCUUUUAGUUGUGCUACAAAUGAUAAAUCCAUGUUAUUAGUCCAAGGUCAAUUAGAUGUCAUCUUUUCUUAAAGGCUCAACUUGUGUCACGUGACAAGUGACAUGGCGCGCCAAGUCAAAAAAUGGAGCCAAUGAGAUCUGCAAUGUGUGAAAUGAUGCGGCAUGCCAAGUCAAAUAAAAAGUAUCAUGCCAAGUGCACAAGUGAUAUGUUUUGACCCAUCAAAUGUGGUCUUAUCAUUGUUUUGAUCUGAUAGGUGAUAGGUCAGUGGGUCAAGACUCAAGACAACAGAACAAUAGGUAUCCUGCAAAGAUAAGGUGCCAAACUGAAGUAUCGUGUCAAGUUCAGGGGGUUGUCAAUGUAUUUGGCCUAAUUUUUUACACGGGGAAAGCAAAUUAGUUAAGAACUGUUAUUGCUGGGGACUAUAUUUCCUCCAUUUAAUAGGUGAAAGCUUGAGGCACUACAGAGUUGAACAGUGCUACACCGAAUGGACAGGAAAAGGUUGCUCUCUCCUCUGGAAUUGAGGGCUGAUAAUCAUUCUUUCCAUAUUCCAUUAUUUCUCCAGUGAAAUGUACCAAAAAGUUGCUAACCUUGCUCUUCAUAAGAGCUUCUCUUUCUCCCUGCUUUAAGACAUUAAGAAAUAAGUAUUGAUUCUCGAGAUAAGAAUAAGUGCCCUUUAUGGUGGUAGAAGUUUUGUCAUGAAAGAUGCACUAAGAAAGCUCUAGGAACUUGAGCUUGGACAACAUACGUGAAUAAAGUUCAGAACCAUAUUUUGGUUAUCCUUUUUUUCUUUAUCUCCUAGAUCAAAUAUUUUGUUGCAUAUAGGAAGCUGUACCUCUUAAGAAAUAAGUAUUGAUUCUCAACUGUUGCUUAAAUAUUUUUAGAACUGUUAACCAAGAAUUCCUGCAUUGGGAUCACCAAGGGUCUCAUCUUCUGCUUUGCCUUUCCUCUUCUUCCUUUUCCCACUUUUCUUUAUUUAAGCUCUCUUCUUUUUCUUUUUCUCCCUUUCGACAUCCCUAACAUCCUUUUUCUCUGUAGAUCCUGCAUCUUCCCUGCCUUCCCUUUUCUUUUUCUUGUUUCACCAAAACUAAAUGAAAGGAACUAGGGUAGUUGCAGCUAUCUGUGAAACUUAGGUGUUUUUACUUGCCAAGGAUUCAGUAAGGAGCACAAUGCAAUGUGGGGAAAAAAAAAGUCAAAGCAGCUCCUUGGCACUUCACCAUGUCUUCUUCUCUUUUAUGUUCGCCCACCAAUUUAACAUAUUUAAUUAUUCAAAGUGUCUUUUUUGUUUUCCAAGUGUUUCUCGUACAUAGUACUUUUGCUUUUGCAGUUAAUGUGACAAAUUCUAGUUCUGGUUGUCACUGAAUUGCCAAAUCAUCAUUUAUACCUAUAGGCAGAGAAGGGACAAUGAUGAAAAGGAUAUCACAGAUGCCUAUUAACAUGGCUUCUUUCUUGGUCUAUGUGGCUCUUUUGUUUUCAAAGCACCACACUUGGAACAGUUUGUUCAUCAUUGUUGUUCAGGAUAUCUUCAAAGUUCCAUCCUUUGUGUUUUUGCCUGAAAGCACUUAAUGGGGACUGAGGCGUGGUUGAUCGAUUGUUUGAUUGAUUUUGCGGCUAAAAGCAAAACAUCACCUUUUGAGAAUCAAAAAAGAGGAAGAAUGUUAUAUACUGAUAAAAAUGUUCCACAUUGAGUGAGGGAUGGGCUGUUGUCUCCUUAUAGGCAAUCCUCAGUUCAUGAUUUAGUAAUUUGGGUUGAGUUGGACCAAUGUCCAUUUUCAUGUAGUAUUGCUUUGUUUUGGAUGAACACAUUAUCAAAUCUGAUUGUUUUUGCUCUUAACUUCAGAUCUUACAUUGCUGCUCUUCUUCCUUUUCUUGUAGGAUGAAGGGAACUAAAGCACCAUCUUCAGAUUGUUGCAUCUACAUGGCCGGACAUUGUUUCUUGAUUAUGUAUCUUUGCGAUGUCUGAUAUCUGCAAGAUAAUCUGUAAUAGAGAACAUAAAAUUUGAUGUUUUCAUUUGGUGGUACAAAUUUGUAGUCUCGCAAUCCAGUUGCAGUCAAGCACUCCCCUCCUCCCAAAUCCACCAAAAGAAAAAAUAUUUCUGAUCAAUUGAAAGGGUGUUCCCUCAAGUUUAUGAUGUUUUCUAAAGAUUUUAACAUGUUUCUGAACUCGUAGUCACAUUAUUUGAAUUGCAGAGAGCAAAAUGUCGCCUCUAGUUAUUUAUUUAUGGACAAAUUACUGUAUAUUUUGCUUUCUGAGUACAUCUGGAAAUGGAAUAAUGGAUUGAAUUAACAAAGGAUAAUUUAUCUCGCAUAGGAAAGUCAAAAC